rnacentral:rRNA from 1 species
AUUGAACGCUGGCGGCAUGCUUUACACAUGCAAGUCGAACGGCAGCGCGGGCUUCGGCCUGGCGGCGAGUGGCGAACGGGUGAGUAAUGCAUCGGAACGUGCCCAGUAGUGGGGUAUAGCCCGGCGAAAGCCGGAUUAAUACCGCAUACGACCUGAGGGUGAAAGCGGGGGACCGAAAGGCCUCGCGCUAUUGGAGCGGCCGAUGUUGGAUUAGCUAGUUGGUGGGGUAAAGGCUUACCAAGGCGACGAUCCGUAGCUGGUCUGAGAGGACGACCAGCCACACUGGGACUGAGACACGGCCCAGACUCCUACGGGAGGCAGCAGUGGGGAAUUUUGGACAAUGGGGGCAACCCUGAUCCAGCCAUGCCGCGUGCGGGAAGAAGGCCUUCGGGUUGUAAACCGCUUUUGUUCGGGAAGAAAUCCUCUGGGCUAAUACCCCGGGGGGAUGACGGUACCGGAAGAAUAAGCACCGGCUAACUACGUG